rnacentral:rRNA from 1 species
GACGAGGGAUCCUAGCGUUGUUCGGAAUCAUUGGGCGUAAAGCGGGUCCAGGUGGCUUUGUAAGUCAGGUGUGAAAGCCCAGGGCUCAACCCUGGAAGUGCAUUUGAUACUGCGAAGCUUGAGUGCUGGAGAGGCUAUUAGAAUACCUGGUGUAGUGGUGAAAUACGUAGAUAUCAGGUGGAAUACCGGAGGCGAAGGCGGAUAGCUGGCCAGACACUGACACUCAGACCCGAAAGUAUGCGGAUCAAACAGG